rnacentral:lncRNA from 1 species
AAUAUUGGAGGUGUGUGUGUGUGUAGCAGAUAUGAUCAGUGAGAUGAAUGUUCUCCUGAUGAAGGUGUGUGUGUGUGUGUGUGUGUGUGUGUGUGGGUGGUGUUCAGUGAGAGGAAUGUUCUCCUGAUGAAGGUGUGUGUGUGUGUGUGUGUGUGUGUGUGUGUGUGUGUGUGUGUGUGUGUGUGGGUGGUGUUCAGUGAGAGGAAUGUUCUCCUGAUGAAGGUGUGUGUGUGUGUGUGUGUGUGUGUGUGUGUGUGGGUGGUGUUCAGUGAGAGGAAUGUUCUCCUGAUGAAGGUGUGUGUGUGUGUGUGUGUGGGUGGUGUUCAGUGAGAGGAAUGUUCUCCUGAUGAAGGUGUGUGUGUGUGUGUGUGUGUGUGUGUGUGUGUGUGUGUGUGGGUGGUGUUCAGUGAGAGGAAUGUUCUCCUGAUGAAGGUGUGUGUGUGUGUGUGUGUGUGUGUGUGUGUGUGUGUGUGUGUGUGGGUGGUGUUCAGUGAGAGGAAUGUUCUCCUGAUGAAGGUGUGUGUGUGUGUGUGUGUGUGUGUGUGUGUGUGUGUGUGUGUGUGGGUGGUGUUCAGUGAUAGGAAGGUUCUCCUGAUGGAAGUUCUGCUCUUCUUCUCUAGGAUGGGGGGAUCUAGCUCUAACCAGAGGUCACACUCCCCUACACCCACCUGUGUGUCCAUGAAGAGUGACCAGUCCAUGGAUAAACCAAUCGACUUUACAGGAGGAGACUCUUCGACUGGACAGAUGGGGGGAUCUAGCUCUAACAGGAGUGUGUGUGUGUGUGUGUGUGUGUGUGUGUGUGUGUGUGUGUAGCAGACAUGAGCAUUGAGAUUAAUGUUCUCCUGAUGAAGGUGUGUGUGUGUGUGUGUGUGGGUGGUGUUCAGUGAGAGGAAUGUUCUCCUGAUGAAGGUGUGUGUGUGUGUGUGUGUGUGUGUGUGUGUGUGUGUGUGUGUGUGUGUGUGUGUGUGUGUGUGUGUGUAGCAGACAUGAGCAGUGAGAGGAAUGUUCUCCUGAUGGAAGUUCUCCACUUCUUCUCUAGGAUGGGGGGAUCAGAGUGGAACUGCAAC